UCAGCAAUAUCAGAGAAGCCAGCAAAGACGUGCGUCGCCGACGGAAUCUGUUGUCUAACAGAGCCCACGACAGCGCCUGGGGCGAGGGACGACAGCACGCGGAAGGCCUCCUGUAGCCCGUUGACCUCGCGCCUCCUGGUCAUCGACGCCGCCCAAGGCACCAUGCCCACUGGAUUUGUGCGUGACGAGGCAAAUCUGGUGGCGUCGCGCCCCUCCGCCGCCCGGCGGCACAUGUCCCGUGCUCCUUCACCGCUAGGAGUGCUUCGAGCAAGAAGGGGGUGGAGGAGUAAAAGGCACCGACACCGGCGAGAGGUGGCAAGAAGUGCUGUAACGCAUCAAUGUCACACCAAAUCCUCAACACCUCAGCACACAUUCACCACCGCGCCCUGCAUCGGCGACUUGCCAGUCACGGCCAAGCCUUCCAGGAUGUUAGCAGGGAAAAUCGCCAUUGGCCUCUUCGGCGACGAGGUCCCCGCCGGUGCGUCCCGGCUCCUGUCGCUUGGUGUCGGCUAG
rnacentral:lncRNA from 1 species